CCUACGGGAGGCUGCAGUGGGGAAUAUUGGACAAUGGGCGAAAGCCUGAUCCAGCCAUGCCGCGUGUGUGAAGAAGGCCUUCGGGUUGUAAAGCACUUUCAGUGGGGAAGAAAGCCUUGGGGCUAAUACCCUCGAGGAAGGACAUCACCCACAGAAGAAGCACCGGCUAACUCCGUGCCAGCAGCCGCGGUAAUACGGAGGGUGCGAGCGUUAAUCGGAAUUACUGGGCGUAAAGCGCGCGUAGGCGGUCUGAUAAGCCGGUUGUGAAAGCCCCGGGCUCAACCUGGGAACGGCAUCCGGAACUGGCAGGCUAGAGUGCAGUAGAGGAAGGUAGAAUUCCCGGUGUAGCGGUGAAAUGCGUAGAGAUCGGGAGGAAUACCAGUGGCGAAGGCGGCCUUCUGGACUGACACUGACGCUCAGGUGCGAAAGCGUGGGUAGCAAACAGGAUUAGAUACCCCAGUAGUC
rnacentral:rRNA from 1 species